AACAUCAGACCACAAGUGAAUUCUGGUCAGUACACAUCUGACAGGUUUGGAAAAGUGACUCAGAACUAUAAACAACAGGAAACUGCUGAAACUUCACAUUUAUUCAGUCUGCACAUUCACUAGUUAUAACCAAAACUGGAGCAAGUAAAUGAAACAUCUCCCACAAUAUUCAUCCUUCAGCAGAAUCCAGAUCCAAUUUUUAUUAAUCACAGCUAAGCAUUAAAGAUUGUUCUUAUUAAACUGAACACAGAGCACCAGCUCUCUGGCAUUUCUGAGACCAAACCCCACAACCUUCUGGCCACUUUAACUCCUGCACCACCAGUGUUCUUCAUGACUCAGAGUCCAAACAGGGCUUUCAAGCAGGAGGAACUUGGCAUUCUCAAAGUUUUCUGAAGGACACAGCCAACAGGAAGUGAUCUUGGCAACCAGAUCAGAAUAAACAUGCACAUUCCCUGAGUCUGAGCUCUGAGAAGACGAGAGCAGGGGAACGAGGUCCUCGAACAAAAAGUCUUGUUUAUUUUUCCAAUUGUACAAUUUUUAUGUAAUAAACUUUUUAAAAAUAAACCUUCAGGUGUUGCUGUAUGUGUUUUAAUACGGUGAUUAAAAUGUAAUGCAAGUUUGUUUAAUUAAAUCAAAUUAACUUGUGUUUAAUUAAAGGCUGAACCUCUCCUGUGGUUGAGCAAAGUGUUUGAGUGUUGCAGAUUUGAGCUCGUGAUCAGAAGGUUGUAAGUUCAAAUACCAGGACUGUCAGAGAUCCACUAUUAACCCUCAACUGUACAGACUGGAUUGAGUCCAAAUUUAAUUAUUCAUCACUGAACAAAACAUCUGGCAGAAGAAAAAUGCAGAAAACAUUCAGGCUCAUCAGAAAGGAUGAAGAGAAACAGAUCUGAACCUCUGAAUACUCCGGGAUGCUGCUGAACGCGACUGCUCGAAGAAGGCCUGGUGUGUGUAAAGCAGCAGAGGAGUUCUGUCUCCCAGCACGGCUUCACGGAAAUUACGGCGUCUCCAGGCAUAGACAAUGCUGUUGAGG